GUUGGCCUCUGACCCCUCCUCCCGCUGAUGCCAAUGACAGGAAACCAGAGACUCUCUGCCUCAGAGACUACAGGGAGAGAGGGAGGAUGGGCCCAAGGUGUAUUCCUCUUACGAUGCCCACCCUUAACUCACCGUGCAUUGCCUGAGGGCCCUGGGCUCUCAGUCUGCAUUGAUUGGAGCUGGGACCGAAGCCCCCAUUCCAGAAACCGGACCAGGAGAUAGGCAAACAAGAAGAAGCCACCCAAUGUGAGAAAGAAAUAAGCAACGGGGGUGAUGUCCGUCUUUAUGCCCAGCAAAGCCAGCCCCAGUAGGAAGGAGGCGCAGCACAGGAGGAGAAGCGGCUUCUCCAGUCUCCCCAGUUCUUCAAUCUCAAAUAAAUCAUCUGUAGAGUCCCCUCCAGUUCCGAAAUUCUCUCUAUGUCUUGGAGUGUGUGGAAUAGCCAGGAAACCAGCCCAGGAGCUUUGACUCCCAGCCAUUCUGCACCUUAAGCAAAAAGGAAGUUAGCCACACAUGGUGGCUCAUGACUGUAGUCUCAGCUACAUGGGAGGCAAGGCGAGAGGAUCUCUUGAGCCCAGGAGUUCGAGGCCAGCCUAGGCAAUGUA